UACGUAGGGGGCAAGCGUUGUCCGGAUUUAUUGGGCGUAAAGCGCGUGUAGGCGGCCAGGUAGGUCCGUUGUGAAAACUCGAGGCUCAACCUCGAGACGUCGACGGAAACCAUCUGGCUAGAGUCCGGAAGAGGAGAGUGGAAUUCCUGGUGUAGCGGUGAAAUGCGCAGAUAUCAGGAAGAACACCCGUGGCGAAGGCAGGCUCGCUCG
rnacentral:rRNA from 1 species